GGCUCAGGAUGAACGCUAGCGGCAGGCUUAAUACAUGCAAGUCGUGGGGCAGCAUGAGUAGCAAUACUUGAUGGCGACCGGCAAACGGGUGAGGAACACGUACACAACCUUCCUUCAAGCGGGGAAUAGCCCAGAGAAAUUUGGAUUAAUACCCCAUAAUAUAUUUGAUAAGGCAUCUUAUUAAUAUUAAAGCUUCGGCACUUGAUGAUGGGUGUGCGGCUGAUUAGAUAGUUGGCGGGGUAACGGCCCACCAAGUCUACGAUCAGUAGCUGAUGUGAGAGCAUGAGCAGCCACACGGGUACUGAGACACGGGCCCGACUCCUACGGGAGGCAGCAGUAAGGAAUAUUGGACAAUGGACGAAAGUCUGAUCCAGCCAUGCCGCGUGAAGGAUUAAGGUCCUCUGGAUUGUAAACUUCUUCUAUAUGGGAACGAAAAAGGGCAUUCUUGUUCACUUGACGGUACCAUAUGAAUAAGCACCGGCUAACUCCGUG
rnacentral:rRNA from 1 species